CACAGUGUUUAUUCUGUGUUUAGUCACGCCGCGUCAAAAAUGUUCCACAGGGUUACUUCCGGUUUAUCGUUGUUUACCAACAGUCGACACUUCGUGUAUUAGGCCUAGGCUUAAUUUUGUCGAUCAUCAUGAAAUUGAAAUACACAUUUAAUAGUUUGGGGUGUAUGCGCUACAUAUUUGUUUAUGAGCGUUUGAUAAGCUACUACUGAUCUACGAAAUACAACGAAAGACUUCGUCAAGAACAGAAGACGAUGCAUGUCGUGUAACUCACACAAGGCCCAUCUGUCUAGUAACCGGAGGGGUAAAGGAAAAGAACGUAUUAGACUCACUGAAACCUGUCAAACAGGUAUAUGGGAACAGGAUCAUUUUCCAUGCCUUUCACUUGAGGUCUUCAGUUUCAUCAUUAAUCAUCUGAAUGUCGGUAUGCCAAACUCUCAUGAUGUCAUGCCAUUACUGGAUAUUCCUUAACACUGGUUUAUUUAAGCCACACUAUCUAUAACAUUGCCAAAAUAUUAGACUGAAAAUUUUCAAAUACACAAGAUUUGAAGCAGCAAAAGAAAAGAAUUACAUAUGUAUAACACACAAAAAAGAAAUUAAUUCUCACCUGGCUGAUAUGAACUUUUUACUCCUUUUUAGCUCCCUUUCACUGCAUACCAGCCAAUAACUAGCAGUCAUUAUAUGCAGAUCAGCCAUUGUUAUCAACCUGUGUAUAUAUAUGUUGAAUGAAAUAUGAAUGAAAAUUGUU